rnacentral:lncRNA from 10 species
CUGUUGUAUUCACAUAUGGUCAAAUGAUCAAAGUCUGAACUCCUCUCUAAUUGUCCCCCCGCUGCUCGUCUGCUCUGUCCGUGAUCAAGGCCUCAGCAGGUGAUGAGAAAGGCAUGAGAACAAGCUGGAAGGAGAAUGAGGCACCGAGAGGCCCAAGCUGAAAGAAAUAAAGACUUCCAGUACAUCACCCUGACAGUAAAGAGCAAAGGAAAAGUGACGUCUGAAGGAUCAUUUGUUCAACUCAGCCACUGUGCUGUGAAAAAUGCCAACAUUUCCAAUGAAGAGACCACAUGGAGAAACAUGUAGAGAGGAACCAAGGCCCUUAGCUGAUAGCCAGCAUUAGGCAUCAAGCAUGUGAAUGAAUGAACCUUCAGAUGAUUCCUGCUCUCUGUCAGUGAGUCUUCCACUUGUGACCCCAGACAUGGUAGAGGAGAUACAAGCCGUCUUCACUGUGCCUGUUUGGAUUCCUGAGUCACAGAAACUGUGAAAGAUAAAACGAACUUCAUCCUGUGGUCCUCAGUUUCUACAUUGAUGCAAAAAAUGAAUGGAGGGUUUUCCUGAGACCAGAAUCCUGCAGCCACAAAGCAGCAGCAGCAUCUUGUGGAUCCUAAAGAGAAAGGCACUUUGAGAUUAUUCCAUGCAUCUCCUCUUGCUGGAUUAUGUCCACUAACCUGCCUUUCUAGAACAUUGGUCCCUGAUCUUGAACUUCAUUCUUAUUCUUUGCCUAAAAAUACUGCUCAACCUGAGCAGACUCAUUACUUUAUUGCUGUUGCUGCUCAACAAUCUUUUACUUUAUUGAAUUGGAUGUCCUAGGACACUCCUAGUUAUUUUAAACUCUCCUGCUGUCUCACACUUGUAAUUCCACCCCUCAUCUCCUCCUGUAUGAUGACAUGACCUUCCUCUUUUACCUCUUCAGUAUGUCUCUCCAUAUCCCUGGCCUCUCUUUGCUUCCCACUCAUCUGAGAGGAAGAUGCGAUUCUGCUCUCAGAGGUUCCCUCUCCCCCCGGUGCUCCUAAAGCCCUCGCGUUUCACCACUUUCAAAAUUGUGCUUCUCCAGUGACCUCCUUCAUCAGCUAUCUUCAGUCCCUCCUGAAAAAAGAACAGGUCUCCUCUUUUUUUUUUUUUUCCAGCCCCCUGCCCCAAACCCAGGUCUCCUCUUUUUUGAAGAAGACAAGCAAUCACACUUUUCUUUGAUCCCACUCCCCAAGUUAGUCAUAGGUUUAUUUUUCUCAUUCUCUCUCCACCCCUUUUAGCCUAUGUUGCCUGUUUAUUCCCUCCCGCUCCAUACCCCCUUGCAACAUGAUUCCUGAGCACUAUCCUCUAUUUGUACAAUCUGAGUUACCAUGACCUCCCUAACUCCAGUUACAGCAGUCCUUACUGCCUUGAGCUUCUCAUCAGCUUCUCAAGCACUGGUGCCAUCUCCUGAAAACUCUGUCUUUUCUUAUAAAUCUGGGACUUAGAAGAAGACUGAUUCUCCUUCUGUGCCAAUGACAUCACCUUCUAUAGUUCCCUUGCUGCCUUUUCCCUGCUUUUAGAUACACCUAACCGUGGCCAUUUCCUGAGAUUCCAUUCUAGGCCCUCUGCAGAUGAUAUAGAACCUGCCUUCCCGAGGGACAUUUUCACUGAGUUGUUCCCCCUAUAUCAACUCCAAAUCAACAUGUGUGAAACAUUGUCCUCCCUUAAACUACUUCUCUUCUUAAAAAUGACUCUGAACUUUAGAGUCACCUUUGACUUUUUCCUCUUUCUGCCACCAAUUAUGUACUUGAGGUAUAGAAACCCAUGCUAAUAUUAGCAUAAGAAAAAGUAAUUAGGAGGGCCCACCUGCCACACAUACACACAAGUCACGUAGUGCAUUUUCAGAACCAAAUAUAAGUGAUUUGGGGGUUAUUUACUGUUACAGCAUAAUGCAUGCUCAGGCUUAGAUUAUUGAGAGUGUACAUUAACAGCCCCUUCCAGAGUUAUUGCCUGGCAUCCUAAUAGGGUUAUAUUGUGGAACAGC